AUGCCUAGAAAAAGGAAAGGCUCUUGCCGCAGCAGUAAGGAUGCCAUGCGGAAGAAGAAAAUCAGGGCCACUGAAUCUCAGCAUCAAAGAGAAUCUAGACUGGAAAACGCCAGAUUAGCAGAAGCUGCACGAAGACAGCGAGAAACCAGCGAAGAGAGACAGCGUCGUUUGGAAAACGCCAGAGUAGCCCAAGCUUCGCGGAGACGGCGCGAAAGCAGCGAAAAAAGGCGACUUCGCCUGGAAAAUGCCAGAGUGGCCCAGGCUUCGCGGAGACAGCGCGAAACCAGCGAAGAAAGGCAGCGUCGAUUGUACCAUGCCCGGUCGGCUCAAGCUUCGCGCAGACAGCGGGAAACCAGUUUGGAGAGGCUGCAUCGCCUGCAAAAUGACCGCCUGGCUAAGGCUUCCAGAAGACGGCGAGAAACCAGCUUGGAGAGGGAGCAUCGCCUGGAAAAUAAGCGGCUGGCGCAAGCUUCACGGAGACUGCACGAAACCAGCGAAGAGAGGCAGCAUCGCUUAGAAAAUGACAGAUUGGCUCAUGCGUCACGAAGACAGCGAGAAACCAGCGAGGAAAGACGGCUUCGGCUGGAAAACGCCAGACUGGCUCAAGCUUCACGGAGGCAGCGAGAAACCAGCGAGGAAAGGCUGCGUCGAUUGGACCAUGCCCGGUCCGCUCAAGCUUUGCGCAGACUGAGAGAAACCGGUUCGGAGAGGGAGCAUCGCCUGCAAAAUGACAGGUUGGCUAAGGCUUCACGGAGACAGCGAGAAGACAACUUGGAGAGGGAGCAUCGCCUGCAAAAUAAUCGACUGGCUCAGGCUUCACGGAGACUGCGCGAAACCAGCGAGGAAAGGCAGCAUCGCUUGGACCAUGCCCGGUCCGCUCAAGCUUUGCGCAGAUUGCGAGAAACCAGCGUGGACAGAGACAGGCCGCCUGAAAACGACAGACCAUGGCGCCAUGAACAUUAUAGACUGCAAGUGCACAAUGCUUCCCGAAAGACAAAUGGACUCGGCUGUCCAGCACCUGUAUGGGAUUUUCACGAGUCUGCUUUUGAGGAGGGACAGGUGCACUCUGAAUUACCAUCACUGUACACAGUGAACAUCCAGAGUUUUGUCUGCGUCUGA
rnacentral:lncRNA from 1 species